UGGGGAAUAUUGCACAAUGGGCGCAAGCCUGAUGCAGCCAUGCCGCGUGUAUGAAGAAGGCCUUCGGGUUGUAAAGUACUUUCAGCGGGGAGGAAGGUGUUGAGGUUAAUAACCUCAGCAAUUGACGUUACCCGCAGAAGAAGCACCGGCUAACUCCGUGCCAGCAGCCGCGGUAAUACGGAGGGUGCAAGCGUUAAUCGGAAUUACUGGGCGUAAAGCGCACGCAGGCGGUCUGUCAAGUCGGAUGUGAAAUCCCCGGGCUCAACCUGGGAACUGCAUUCGAAACUGGCAGGCUAGAGUCUUGUAGAGGGUGGUAGAAUUCCAGGUGUAGCGGUGAAAUGCGUAGAGAUCUGGAGGAAUACCGGUGGCGAAGGCGGCCCCCUGGACAAAGACUGACGCUCAGGUGCGAAAGCGUGGGGAGCAAACA
rnacentral:rRNA from 1 species